GUACCCGAAACCGACUCAGGUGGUCAGGUAGAGAAUACCAAGGAGAUCGAGAGAAUCGUGGUUAAGGAACUCGGCAAAAUGCCCCCGUAACUUUGGGAUAAGGGGGACCUGAGCUGUCGUGCACCCGUGCGGUGUGGUGGCGGUGAGGGGCGCAGAGUCCAGGGGGAAACGACUGUUUACCAAAAACACAGGUCCGUGCGAAGUCGUAAGACGAUGUAUACGGACUGACUCCUGCCCGGUGCUGGAAGGUUAAGGGGAACUGUGAGUGUAUGCGUAGCGGUGAACUUAAGCCCCAGUAAACGGCGGU
rnacentral:rRNA from 17 species